UGCAACCUGAGCGCUAAAAUAACAACCAGAACUAGAUGGUCGAAGGCCACAGCCUGAUGUUGACGGCAUGAGGAUCAAGCCGGAUCACACGGGAAGGAUGCAGCUGGACCUGGCAGGGAGCAGGCACGCAGGUGAAGAGGGCGCUCAGGGCUGAGAAGGAAAACCUGCACCUAAUAGGAUGUUGAACCCGUAUAAUAAACAGAACACAACUAGACUAUUUCUGCAGCCGAGAUCCGAGCAGCAGAAUUUCACCUGUAUUGCACUGGGAGGAAUCAGAAUAAAACACCAACAGUGAUUUCGGAAGACUGAAGCAAUUCAAAAAAUAAAUUCUCAUUUCCAUUUUUUAAGCUUUAUUCUGUU